ensembl:lncRNA
UAGAGGUUAUUACGUUUCAAACCACAAACAGACAAUGUUCAGAACUAUUUUUAUCUUUGCUUCAAGGUGCAAUGGAGGACUUUUCCAGAUAUUUGGGCAUCAAGAAGAAACUGUUGAUAUGUUGCGUGUUGUGGAUUUUCUCAGCAGCAGAAGGAAAGACCAUCACGGAGGUGGUUGGCAGCACAGUGAUGCUGCCCUGUAACCAGUCAGUCAACAAAAUCAAUCAGCUGACAUGGACAAUGAAUAGUAAAACCCUGUUGAGCUACAGACCAGGGGGACUCUUAUACACCCAUCCAGAGGCUGAGAGACUGAACAUAACCAUGUCUCUGUCAGAAAGUGAACGGUACACACUGAUCAUAAAGAGAGCCGAGAAGAAUCACACAGGAAACUACACCUGUGAGGCAACGAUUGCGGAAAAGGGAAUAUUGGAACAAACCUGGGAGCUGAUAAUUACAGACCAUGAACAAACUGGAAAUUGGAUAAUUCCACUGAUUCCUGUGGCGGUUAUUGUUCCCUGUGUCUGUUGCCUGAUCUUUAUAUUUGCUAUGAUCAUUCUGCGAAGAUCCUGUAAAUGCCGUGCAAAAAGCCGGCAUCCCACUGCAGAAAUGAGGAAGCAACCAGAGGAUAUUUAUGAAAACUGUCUGGAAAUUGAUGUGAGACAACGUUCCAGUCAUCCUCAGCCUCACCAUUGUAACCACAGAGCUCAGUGAUACUGUAUGUGCAGUUCAAAAGCAAAUGCAUGAGAGGUAAACAUGCAAAACAUAACCAUUUUACUUGAGUACAAACACAGUGUAUGAGUAAAGUUGUCCUUUUAUGUCAUGUAUAAUCUUUAAACUUUUGUCAGUGAGUGUAAUACAUUUAUUAAAGAGUAAAAUCUUUGUUUAAAGCAGCAUUGAACGUUACUUUUUCAGGCAUUGUUCAGGUAUUCAAAGGUAUGUGUUAAUACUAUUGUUAUUACUAAGCCUUUCCCAUUCACAUUGUUUCUUUUCUGUUCCUUUUCACUAAAAGUAUCACUGACUGGGGCUCAUAUAGCACAUUCAUGCUCAACAUUGGUUGACAAUGUUACGUUAAACCAGUUACGUUACAUAAUACAUGUGGGAAAAUCCACCACUGGCAGCAGCUUUUAAAUGAGGUUACAGAAGAUAGAGAUGCUCCAUCAGUUGUUAUGAGAACUAAUUAACUAAUAACCCGGACCUACUUGGUGGCAAUAUGCUUGUCUAUCAAUGUACAGUAGCUUUUAAUUAUAGGUCUACUAGUUUAGAAUAUUAAUUUAACUGUAUGUAAAUGUAUUAUGUCCAAAAUUCAGUUACUGGGUCAGUAAUUCAUUCAGUUCAUUUGUUAGGAAAGUGGAUACGAACAGAAAACCCACUGCUGUUUACCUGGAAAGGUGUGUUCAGUCAAACACAUUUAAACCGUCACACACAGAAAUUUAAACAUCUGCUUGUAACCAGUAAGGACGUCUUGUGUUGAUUUUUAAAGACAUGAGAGAGACUGCUUCUCAUACAAAGGGCUUCAGUUCUGGUGAUACAAUAGCAGCAUAGUGCUUUUCAUUCAUUCGAAUGAGGCCUGUAGGCCACUGAGCCAGUAAAUCAAAUGCAAGUUAUGCAAAUGUAUCAGGGGGUUUAUGCAGUGGAUGUUGUAACAUAGCUCUUUUUGGCAUUUCUCAAAUAUAGACCAGUCUCAAACAAUGGGACAGUUGUUACAGUAUAACUACAACUUCCUUUACAUAACAAGUUCGUGAAACUGUUUAAAUUGUCUAAAUGAAAACACGUAGAAAAUGACGUGUCAUGACAAUACAUGAUAAAUUAUUCAAAGAUUAUUUUCUAUCCCUUUAUUUCUUUGGGAGAAACAUACUGAGUCAUGUGGCAAACACAGAGUUACAGCGAAGUCAUUGUGUUUCACAACACAGAGAUUAUCCACAAGACAGACACUGUGACAGUAGUUUCUUCAUAAGGGAAGUCUGGUCUGUUCUAAAGUCAAUAAAAAUGUACAAGGCAAACAAAGAAUUCCUGAACUCCUGAAGCACAAUUGAGGCACUGUUUAACUAGCUAACAUGACAGAUUACAUAACGCAGAGCACCCAAUGAUAACGAAGAUAUGCAAACUAUGUCUGAGGCACUUAAACUAGAAAAGCACAUCGUGGGAAAGGCAUUUAGCAACAGUUCAGCUACAAACAAGACAGAGUUUGGUUUAAUGAAUAAAAUGAGAAAACAAAAAUGUUUACAAUCACAAAAAAACAAAUAUGAAAACUGCACUACUGCGAGUAGUACAUUUAAUGCUAAAAACUACAAGUAACACAAAAAAGUUUUUAAAAUGAAAAAAGGCGUGAGGUCUGUGUGAUGACACUGAUGAGUAGUGCAGUUUGGUGUAUUGUAAAGAGAGGAAAUGGGAAGGAUCAUCUGAUUUAUGUGUGACUUCUUGCUUCAUUGUUUCUCUCGCAUGUUGUGUUAUGGUC